rnacentral:rRNA from 1 species
CCAGUCCUACGGGGGGCAGCAGUGGGGAAUAUUGGGCAAUGGGCGCAAGCCUGACCCAGCAACGCCGCGUGAAGGAAGAAGGCUUUCGGGUUGUAAACUUCUUUUCUCAGGGACGAAGAAAGUGACGGUACCUGAGGAAUAAGCCACGGCUAACUACGUGCCAGCAGCCGCGGUAAUACGUAGGUGGCAAGCGUUAUCCGGAUUUACUGGGUGUAAAGGGCGUGUAGGCGGGGAAGCAAGUCAGAUGUGAAAACCAAAGGCUCAACCUGUGGCCUGCAUUUGAAACUGUUUUUCUUGAGUACUGG